GGGGCCUUGCAGGUUGUGCAAUGAGAAAAUGCAGAUCCUUCCCUCACAGCUCGCCAAUGGUCCAAACAUUCCCGAUGGACAUACUUUGAUGAUCCUUUGCAUUUGCAUGGUGCAAUAAAAUNNCCGUCGGUUUCAAGGCAAAUUCGGCACUGAAUUUUCUCACUGGGGCCGGACUCGAGGUCGAUCUCUGUGGGUUCGUUGAGAGGAGAGGGAGGUAUGAGAGGUGAAGAGCCGGAAUCAUCAGCCAUUGGAAGUUGACCCAGAGAAAGAAUGAAUUAAAUUUAUUUACAAAUUAGAUUAAGAAUUUAUAGAUUUCAUUCGGGAAGAGGUGAAUCUUGACUUGCUCACUCUGUGUGUGAAGGUCUACUGUGAGCGGUGGGCUUCUAGGAGAAACGAAAAUUCUC
rnacentral:misc_RNA from 1 species